UAGCCGUAAACGAUACUCGCUAGGUGUCGGCCACGGUGCGACCGUUGUCGGUGCCGUAGGGAAGCCGUGAAGCGAGCCACCUGGGAAGUACGGUCGCAAGGCUGAAACUUAAAGGAAUUGGCGGGGGAGCACCACAACGGGUGGAGCUUGCGGUUUAAUUGGAUUCAACGCCGGAAAUCUUACCGGGACCGACAGCAACAUGAAGGCCAGGCUGAAGACUUUGCCGGAUUAGCUGAGAGGAGGUGCAUGGCGUAGUCGUGU
rnacentral:rRNA from 1 species